UUCUUCUUCCUUCUUCUCACUUUUCCUCUUUUUCCUUCUUCCUGUUUUUAUUAUUCUUCCCUCUUUCCUUCUUAUCACUCUGAUCCAUAUGAUUUACAGGUAUUUGUGGCUACAACAUAUUACUCGGUCCUAAGAACAAAUGAGUCAUGGAUGCAUCAUGUUUUUCUACUAUGGAGAGACUAAGACUAAUUAUGUUUCUAUUUGUUGAACUAGAGGAAUUGAUUGAAGCUUUCGAGAACACUCAGUUUGUGAAAAUUUGCAUAUGCUCAUGGAGCCAAUUUAUUUCAAAAGUAUAACUACAUGGCACUCUUAAUCAACGCAGGAUACCAGCCAACAAUUGUCCGUAAAUUGAUGCAGGUUUGUGCAGUUCCCAACAUUGCUUCAAAGUGUCUUCAAUAUGGUUUGGAGAUAACAUGUCAUAUAAUCCCUGUUGUUCCAGCCGGUUUGUGAGAUGUGCAAGCUGCGAAAACGGCUGACCAAUAACCUCUAGCACAUGUAUGAAAAUUGGAGAACAAACAAUAAGCUCAUUAGAUGAGAAUCGUCGGUGUUAGUGUUGAUUCUUCUGGAACACCCGCGUUGAGGAUGGCUAUGCAAACAAGGGAACAUCAUAUCCAUAUGGACAAGGCCACCAACAACAUUUGCAUUGCUCAGAUAACUUACUUUGUGUUGCA